rnacentral:lncRNA from 1 species
CGGCCAAUUGAUUUCAUUGUUUUCUUUUCCUUUUUUUAAACCAACCAGGGACAUUUAAUUUAAAAAAAUACAAGCAAGUUAUCCAGGACCUAAUCUGCUAAGCAGUGUUCUCCCCAAGAGGAUGAAGCCCUGCUGGCUGGCUCUGACAUUCAAUUCAGACUGAAAACACAGUAACUCCUCUGGCCCUUGCUGGGAAAUGUCCUGCGCAGGCCAUGGGCAGCACUCCAGUGCAGCUGACCUCCCACAAGGCCCCCAAACACAUGAUCCCACCAAAGGCUUGAACAGGGGAACCUCACAAGCAGGCAGAGAGCACACCUGAGACACAAGGACAAAUUAAAGCCAGUGAAUAAAACUAAAGGUCACUUUAAAGGAGUAUAAAGCUACAGUGGACAUAACGUGGCAUAGGUGAUCUUGACACCACAGAACUGUGAAGCCUGCAAUCCUACAAUAUAGAGGGGUAUGAGGAAGACAUCUCAGGAUACUGAAGAGUGUUGCAGAGGACCCACAAAUAGUCCUGAGCAUGAGAUGGUGGACAACAAACCCAUUUUUGGUGUGGGUAAAAUCAUUAGCGACAUCUUUUUCUUUUUUUUUUUUUCAGCAGUUUGAAGAUGUGUCAUUCCAUUUAUUUUUUCAUAAUUUCUGUUAAAAAGACUGCAGCUGCCCUUACUGUUGUACCUUUGAAGGUGUUGCAGCAAGAGCGCUGGCCUGCCAUGAUCUGCUACAUUCUACCUGGAAAUACAAGUCAGAAGUCAGCCUGUCAUAUUUUUUCAAAAGGUGACUUGUCAAAAUGAGACUUCUUUCAUAAAAUCAGUCUGGUUGGGCAUGGUGGCUCACGCCUGUAAUCCUAGCACUUUGGGAGGCUGAAGUAGGUGGAUGGCUUGAGCCCAGGAGUUUGAGACCAGCCUGGGCAACAUGGCAAAAUCCCAUCUCUACAAAAAAUACAAAAAUUAGCCGGGCAUAGUGUCACACACCUGUGGUCCCAGCUACUCAGGAGACUGAGAUGGGAGGAUCACCUGAGCCCGGGAGGUUAAGGCUGCAGUGAGCCAGGAUUGGGCCACUGCACUACAGCAUGGGUGACAGAGUGAAAUGCUGUCUCAAAAAACAACAACAAAAAAUCUCUCAAUCUGUCCAAAUAGUUAGAUUGUCUUCAGUAAUCUUUCCAUCGCGAUCUUGCUUUGUUUCUACUACUACUCUGAUGCUACAUAAUUAAGGUCACCAAUCGUUGUCACUGUCUUUCCAAACCUGUUGUUCCUUACUUCCUCCGGCCAUUCUUCCUUGUCCCCCUCCCAUUCAUCAUCCAGACACACACACACACACACACACACACACACACACACACACACACAUACAUUUUAACAAUACCAAACUCCUUGUAGUUCCCCUAAAUGAAUCAUGUUGUUUCCCUUACCUGAAAUGCCCAAUCCCUUUUUUAUUUUCAUUGCUAACUCCUCUCAUCUUUCCAGAGUGUUCACGUCUACCAGGAGUGUUCUUGUCCCUCCCAUUCCUUUCUACUCUAGCUCCACUCACAGUUCUGUGUAAUCCCAUCUUGUGGACUAACCCGUGUUAAAAAGAUUUGUUUGCUGAUUUGAUUCUUCCCUCCACUACACCCCCCCAUAACACAAAAUGAGUCCCUUAAAAGCAGAAAUGUUGCCUCACUGGUCUCCAGCACCCAGUGGAGUAUUUGGUAUGAAUGUCGGUCGAACUGUACUCUCUCCAGUGUGCAUUUUGUUCCAGGAAGACUAGGUAAUAGCAGGAGCAUUAGAAGCCUCAUCUUCAGGGCUGUUUGACAUUGAUUUUUUAAAAAAUACAUUUCCUGAGGUCUCACUAGUGCCAGAAUAUGAAAAAAAUAAUCAUUCUUCUCUGACUAAAGUGGAAUCACCAGUGAUUUAUUCUCUCCUUAAUCAGUAAUACUAGCUAACAUUUAUAUAGCCCUCACUAGGUCCCAAGCACUUUGAACAUAUCAUCUUAUUUCAUGUCUAUAACCACCUUCAGGUAGGCACUGUUGUUACCCUCCAAUUUACAAAGGAGGAAACUGAAGUGCAGGGAGGUUAAGUAAGUGGCAAGCUAGAAUCUGGAUACAGGUUGUCUGGUUCCAGGGACCAGGCAGUUAGCCAUUAUGCUAUGCGGCAUGAUUUCUUGCUUUCCUUGCCCUUUUUUCUUAAAUGUUUAAUUACAUAAGUAGCAUAUCAAUACAUUUAAAUUGUCAAAAAUUCAGAAACAAAGCAAAAACUCACUACUAUUUGAUGGGUAUCUUUCAAGAUCUUUUUCUUUGUUUACAUACAUAUAUACAUUAUGUGUGUGUACAUAUACACAAAGAAAUAUGUAUUUUUAUGUAACUGGAUUAUGCCUUAUUUUUCUAUAGAUUUGUUUUCAUUUAACAAUUUGUCUUAAAGGUCUUUUCAUAUCGAUGCAUAUUGAUCUAUUUUAUUCUUUGAAUGUUGCAUAGUAUGGAUAUAUUCCAUAGAAUGGGUGUAAUAUAGUUUAGGUAACCAUUUUUCUUUUGCGAGUCAUUUAUGUUGUUUCUGAUUUCACUGUUACAAACCAGGCUGCACUGAGUAUCCUUGAACAUGUCUCUUCACAUUCAUGCAACUAUACGUCUAGGAAAGAUCCUCAGAAAUAAAAUUGUUGGGAUGAAGUUUGUGUUGACUUUUUUUUUUUUAAUGGUGACUCACAUCCUGCCUUCCAGGGAGGCUGUGGCUUUUAUUGUUUCAUCAUUCACAUAUUAAAAGGGUUGUGUACACUUGGUUGAAUUUAUGGCAGAGUAAAAAAUCAUAAUAAAAUAAAUAAAAGGGCUGUGGCUGGAGGUUUUCCAGGAAAUCAACUCUCUAUAAAAGCACUGCUCACACCCUAACAUGCCAAGGAAAGCAAAGGCCUUCUCUCUUCUCCACCUCAUCUUUAGGAAAAAGGAAUUUUGGCCUGAGUUGCAGAAUAAACAGUGUCCUUGAGAGCAUACAGUGGGAUUCCUGAAAAAGAAGGUGGCAGGCAAGAGGAAGGUGAAACUUUCUGUGGGAAGAAAUCAAGUGGCUCUGUCAAAAGACAAAAUUACAACCCAUUUAGUUAAAGAUCUUAAUAGGCUUUUAUCGGUGACUCUUGAAUCAGGCAACAACUCAAUCUGUAAAUGAGCUGAACAGAGAAGUUUGGCUUUAUAGACAAAAAGGGCUGGGGAAGCAGACAUAGAGAACAAAAAGUGGAUUAGUCAUUUUGAAGUUGCUUUCUUCCUAAAGGUUAAAGCAGAGGGGACUUCCUUAUCAUGCCGGGUAAAACUGGCCUGUUUGGGGAUUUGGCUCUCUCUCUCUCCCUGCCACCCCCAACCCCCUGAUUCCUUGGAAGUUCAGAUAAACACCUUGGUUUUGGUU